UUCAUUUAUUUUUUUCCAGAAAACAUUAAAUCAAAUUUAGAUAAUGAGUUUCGUGAUAAGUUUUGAUGGAUGAUUACGAAUCCCAUUCAUAAAAACGCAGAAAGGCUUAACUGAUGUUUGUUUUUCUUAUUGUUUCCAUUAAAUGGUACUUAAAAUAGAUAUAUAUAAUUCUUCGCACAUUAGUGGUUGAAGUUUUGUUUUAAAAAGCUACGAUUAAACCCGCCAUUGCAAACUUUAUUUUUAUACUAAACAUUCCUGGAAGAUAUUGGGUAUAUGGGAUGUGGUUGCAGAAGUAUUGCAUCAGACAAGUCUGAAGACGGCUAUGUCUUCAAUGAAACCGCUGCGAUUAAACCCUGGGAAGAUGAAACUAUCUGCAAAAUCUUAUCUUGAGAACUAGAAGGAACUGAUUAUUUUUGCAUUGACCCAUUACAUUGCUGUUGAAAUAGGUAAAAGUGAAAGAAAAUGAUGAGAAAGAAGUCUAUAAAUAUAUAAUAUAUGUAAUAUUUUUUUAUUUCAAGACUCAAUGAACGUUGAAAAUGGGUAAAAUCUUCAUUUGUUGAGUUUUU